ACAGCACGCACUACAGAACACAAUCAAACAAUCGGUGUACCAGUACCAACUUCCUCAGUAGUUGAAUUAUUUGUCUCUGAUCCGGUCGUUGGAGCUCUUGUACCUUGGCUAUUUGAAUUGCUUGUAGGGCUUGCUGAACCGCUGCUCAUUCCCCCAAUAGUUGAACUAUUUGUCUCUGCUCCAGUUGGUUGAGCAGUAGUAACUUGGCUUGUUGAACUGUUCAUGAGGCUGGUUGAACCAGUGCUAAUUUCGUUUUAGUUGAACUAUUUGUCUCUGCUCCAGUUGGUUGAGCAGUAGUAACUUGGCUUGUUGAACUGUUCAUGAGGCUGGUUGAACCAGUGCUAAUUUCGUUUUAGUUGAACUAUUUGUCUCUGUUCCAGUUGGUUGAGCAGUAGUAACUUGGCUUGUUGAACUGUUCAUGAGGCUGGUUGAACCAGUGCUAAU